rnacentral:rRNA from 1 species
GAGUUUGAUUCUGGCUCAGGAUGAACGCUAGCGAUAGGCUUAACACAUGCAAGUCGAGGGGCAGCGAGGGUAGCAAUACCUGUCGGCGACCGGCGCACGGGUGAGUAACGCGUAUGUAACCUGCCCGCAACAGGGGGAUAACCCGGCGAAAGUCGGACUAAUACCGCAUAAAACAGGGGUCCCGCAUGGGAAUAUUUGUUAAAGAUUUAUCGGUUGCGGAUGGGCAUGCGUACCAUUAGGUAGUUGGUGAGGUAACGGCUCACCAAGCCUUCGAUGGUUAGGGGUUCUGAGAGGAAGGUCCCCCACACUGGUACUGAGACACGGACCAGACUCCUACGGGAGGCAGCAGUGAGGAAUAUUGGUCAAUGGGCGAGAGCCUGAACCAGCCAAGUCGCGUGAAGGAUGACUGCCCUAUGGGUUGUAAACUUCUUUUACAAGGGAAUAAAAUGAGAUACGUGUAUUUUAUUGC